rnacentral:rRNA from 1 species
UGGGGAAUCUUCCGCAAUGGACGAAAGUCUGACGGAGCAACGCCGCGUGUAUGAUGAAGGUCUUCGGAUUGUAAAGUACUGUCAUUGGGGAAGAACGGUUUUCUUGAAAGAUUGAGAAGACAUGACGGUACCCAAGGAGGAAGCCCCGGCUAACUACGUGCCAGCAGCCGCGGUAAUACGUAGGGGGCAAGCGUUGUCCGGAAUUAUUGGGCGUAAAGGGCGCGUAGGCGGGCUUUUAAGUCCGGUGUGAAAGAUCAGGGCUCAACCCUGAGAGUGCAUCGGAAACUGGAGGCCUUGAGGACAGGAGAGGAAAGUGGAAUUCCACGUGUAGCGGUGAAAUGCGUAGAUAUGUGGAGGAACACCAGUGGCGAAGGCGACUUUCUGGACUGUAACUGACGCUGAGGCGCGAAAGCGUGGGGAGCAAACAGGAUUAGAUACCCUGGUAGUCCACGCCGUAAACGAUGAGUGCUAGGUGUAGAGGGUAUCGACCCCUUCUGUGCCGCAGUUAACACAAUAAGCACUCCCGCCUGGGGAGUACGGCCGCAA